GCGUGAGUGAAGAAGCCUUCGGGUAGUAAGCUCUUUCGUGGGGAACGAAACGGUUGAGGUGAAUAAUCUCGAUUACUGACGGUACCCCAAGAAGAAGCACCGGCUAACUACGUGCCAGCAGCCGCGGUAAUACGUAGGGUGCGAGCGUUAAUCGGAAUUACUGGGCGUAAAGCGUGCGCAGGCGGUUUGUUAAGUCAGAUGUGAAAGCCCCGGGCUUAACCUGGGAAUUGCGUUUGAUACUGGCGAGCUGGAGUCUGUCAGAGGGGGGUAGAAUUCCACGUGUAGCACUGAAAUGCGUAGAGAUGUGGAGGAAUACCGAUGGCGAAGGCAGCCCCCUGGGAUAAGACUGACGCUCAUGCACGAAAGCGUGGGGAGCAAACAGGCAUUA
rnacentral:rRNA from 1 species